GUAUACUGAAGCCCUAAAUUGACUUCAUCCUAAAUCUUUUAAAAUAUUGUCCCAAAAAUAGCCAUAUCCAAUAUGCUUUUAUUGGAAAUAUUUUCCCAGUGAAUAGCGCAUCUAUUAGCAGCAUUACAGCUUGCCGACGGUGAUAUUUCGAUCGGCCGUCAGGAACUCUCCGCAAUUAACUACAGAAUCUAAGGCAAUAAGAGCAGUAUAGCUUCAGGAAAUUUCCCCAUAUGCGGUUCGAUGAAAGCACGAUUCAACAUAGAAAGGAGGUUUCAGUCUUGGGGUCAAUUUGGGUCUUGCCCUUAGUAAAGGCUACAAUUUUCGACCCUUAAUGGGGAUGGAGAGUAUAUCUGCUGGAAGUGUACAGAACAACAAUUGAUGCAAUGAGCUGCAUUUUUGAUACGUAAUAAGUUCUUCUUACUUAUUCCUCUAUUUGUUGAGUCUGCUGCAGAGAUUUCUGAUGAAGUCAAUUUAGGUGGUAGGUCAUGAAGUUCUGCCCUCCUCUGUGCGUUGAUUUCCAUUUAAUCAGUUCUCUGAUAUGCCUCCUUUUUUGCUUAAAUUGUGUUAAGUCUCUUGCGUGUUUGUCUGUUCAAAUUUCUGUUUAUAUUUUUCUUCAUUACCUGGUUGUUCUCUUUAUUCAUAUGCAAUUAUCUAGUUGCUUUAAUUUUCAUAGGAGGUACAACAAGUUAGUAUUUUAUGAAAUUAUUGGUAAUAUACUAUAGAAAGAAUAUAUGCAUCUUAUGCCUUGAAAAAAUCUCAUUGAAGCAUCCUUAUAUAUGCAAUGUGUCUCAAUUAAUUGAUCAAAUAUGUGAGCUACUGUAAGGAACGAAAAGUAUGUGUACUCUUUAGUUCCCUGUAAUUGACACGAAUUGAUCAAGACUAAGAUCACACUUAGAUUUUAUUGCACCAAUGAUAAUAAUGUAAAACGUAUAUUAAUCCACUGGAUAUUUGUUAUAUGAUUAAGCCAAGCAAGAGGGAUAACUCAAAAGAAUCUCUAUAUAUGUUUUAGCGAGAAGUUGAUCUAUCGACCGAACUUCUCCAAUCAAAGCAAUAUUUUUCAGAAUACCACUUUUUUCCUCCUAUAAUUUCUCUAGUGUAAAUAAUCGAGCAGAUAUUGGUCAUUUUUAAUGAUAAAGUUCAUGAUUCAAACAUGCCUAUAUAGUUAUCAGAAUGUAGAUCUUAGCAUAUGACAUUGACAUCAUUGACAUUUCUUCAAACUCUUCACGUGAGAAGGAAGCUACUUUUUUCCUCUGCUGCACUUUUUUAGUGUAGAAAAUGUUUUCAAUGCUGACAACGGUUUGAGGUUCUUUGAGAAAGCCUUAUAAUAUUUGUGAUAAUCCUCUGUGUUCUCUGCAAUUUUAAUGAAUAGAUUAAUACGGUUUUCUCCAAAGUCUGGCAAAUAACCUUCAUGAUUUUUUUCUAAUGUAACGUAUCUUUGGAGAUGUGAAGAGGAAGUUCUUAUGAAUACACAAUGCCCUUCAUAAAUUAACCUUUUCCAAUAAUUGGACGGUUGAAACAAACAUCAAUUUGCUUUUAAUAUACUUGGAAUAAAUCAUGAUUAUAACUGUUCUUCCUUCUUUCUCUACUAUAAAUACAUUUCUCCUCAUAGUUGUCAGACAUUCUUUUGCUUCAUUUUAAAUUUUACAAGAACUAGUUGCUUAACAAAGGAACAACUAAUUAACUGCUGUACAUUGUUUUUUUCUCUCUAUUUUCUAACACUUCUCUGCAUAACUAUCAGGUAUUGUUGUUUCUUGCACUUACAUUAACAAACAUCAACUCUUAAUCGAGAAACCAUAAUUUAACUAGACUUCUUGCACAACUGCAUAUUUUCUUCUUCUUUUAUUUUUACAUACUCAUCUACACAACUGCAUCAAACUAAACUCUCUGAAACAUUCAAAUAGUAAUUGCACAAACCUGACCUCAAUUUUGCAAACGAGGAAAAGGUCAUGAAUCAAACAACAUCACAGUGACCUUUAUACACAUGUUUAUGCAAAGUUGUAAUAUGGAAUUUGUAAUUUCGAGUGCAUUUUUAGUUAAUUCUUGUUGUUGCAGGUUCAAUCGAGUGCUUCUUGACGUUCAAUAUGAAAAAUCAAUCAUAUUAAACUUCUCUAAUAUUUUUCUUUAUGUUAUUGGAACUUGUUAAAGUGUCUGUAGUAUUGAUGAAUUCUACACUUCUUUUGCAGUGAGCACUUUAACUAGUUCUAUUGUAAGUUCAUAGAUAUCAUUAUAAACCAAUAGGUACAUAUGAUUUUAGCAAAAUUUUGUACUUACAGAUUUUUGAAGAUUGAAGUUACAAGUCAAGAUGAAAGUUUAGAAUAUGCACAAGCUCAUUAUUAUUUUGCUAAGAACGUUAUGUAAAACUUGAUAACAUAGUCUAGCUUGAGAUGCUAAUUGAUUUAAGUAUUUUUUGGUGAGCAAAUAUUGAAAAUAUAUCGAUCAUCAUUUUGUAUUAA